UACGUAGGGUGCAAGCGUUGUCCGGAAUUAUUGGGCGUAAAGAGCUCGUAGGCGGUUUGUCGCGUCUGCUGUGAAAAACUCGGGGCUUAACUCCGGGCCUGCAGUGGGUACGGGCAGACUAGAGUGCGGUAGGGGAGACUGGAAUUCCUGGUGUAGCGGUGAAAUGCGCAGAUAUCAGGAGGAACACCGGUGGCGAAGGCGGCAUCCUGGACCAAGACUGACACUGAAAAGCGAAAGCCAGGGGAGCAAACGGG
rnacentral:rRNA from 1 species